GGAGACCAGGCUGGACUCAAACU
rnacentral:piRNA from 1 species